rnacentral:tRNA from 1 species
GGAAGGGUCGCAUAGAGGUCUAGUGCGACGGUUUGCUAAACCGUUGAGUCCGCAAGGGCUCCGAGGGUUCGAAUCCCUCCCCUUCCGCCA